UACGAAGGGGGCUAGCGUUGUUCGGAAUUACUGGGCGUAAAGCGCACGUAGGCGGGUUUGUAAGUAGAGGGUGAAAUCCCAGGGCUCAACCCUGGAACUGCCUUUGAUACUGGGUAUCUUGAGUAUGGAAGAGGUAAGUGGAAUUGCGAGUGUAGAGGUGAAAUUCGUAGAUAUUCGCAGGAACACCAGUGGCGAAGGCGGCUUACUGGUCCAUUACUGACGCUGAGGUGCGAAAGCGUGGGGAGCAAACAGGAUUAGAUACCCCGGUAGU
rnacentral:rRNA from 1 species